rnacentral:other from 1 species
UUAAACCUGAGAUGUCAUGUUUUCCGUUAUUUUGAACCUACAAUUACUUUAAACGGGAUUCCUAUAUCGCCCUUACGGCUGUCAUGCCUCCGGCGCUUAUGCGCUGCCAGUGGAAGACAAAAGUCUGGGCUGCGGACACCCACCUGGCCGUGUGCUAGGAGUCAAAGUACGGAAAUCCGACAUUUCGGGUAUAUU